GAACUGAAACAUCUAAGUACCCCGAGGAAAAGAAAUCAACCGAGAUUCCCCCAGUAGCGGCGAGCGAACGGGGAGGAGCCCAGAGCCUGAAUCAGCAUGUGUGUUAGUGGAAGCGUCUGGAAAGGCGCGCGAUACAGGGUGACAGCCCCGUACACAAAAGCGCAUGUGCUGUGAGCUCGAUGAGUAGGGCGGGACACGUGGUAUCCUGUCUGAAUAUGGGGGGACCAUCCUCCAAGGCUAAAUACUCCUGACUGACCGAUAGUGAACCAGUACCGUGAGGGAAAGGCGAAAAGAACCCCGGCGAGGGGAGUGAAAAAGAACCUGAAACCGU
rnacentral:rRNA from 1 species